rnacentral:rRNA from 1 species
AUGGAUGCUAUGCACUGUAACUCAGGUGGAGGAAGUGAAGAUCCUUGUUCGGAUGCUUCCAAUAUGGUUCACCAGCGUGUUCUACACAGCUUCGAUGUGCCAAACGGCCACCACCUUCAUCCAACAGGGGAACAAAAUGAACACAAAGAUUGGAUCCUUCUCCGUCCCUCCUGCUUCCAUGAACUCGGCCUCGGUGAUCUUCAUGAUGAUCUUUGUCGUGAUCCAGGACAGCAUUGUGAUCCCAAUGGCCAGACGAUACACCGGAAAUGUGGCAGGGCUCACGCAGCUAAGCGGAUGGGCGUCGGCCGGUUCUUAGCGGUCCCGGCGCUCGCCGCGGCCGCGCUGGUUGAAAUGUGGAGGCUGCGCAGCAUCGGUGCCGGCCACAACCUGAGCAUAGCAUGGCAGCUCCCCCAGUUCAUGCUCAUCGCCUGCUCCGACGUGUUCUGCGGCAUAGCUCAGCUCGAGUUCUUCUACUCGGAGGCUCCCAUGUCGAUGCGGAGCCUGUGCUCUGCAUUCUCGUUCCUUGCAAUGUCGCUUGGCUAUUACCUGAACUCGAUGACCAUCUCGGCCAUCGCUGCUCUGUCGAAGAGCGGGGGCGGGCAGGGCUGGCUUCCCGCCGACUUGAACGACGGGCAUCUCGACUACUACUUCUGGCUGUGGGCGGGGAUCGGCGCGGUGAACUUUGUUGUGUACACGGCAUUCGCCAAGAAUUAUACGGUGAAGAAAGUCGAGCACCGGUGA